UCCCCCAUCCUCCAGAGAGACUGAGUUAAUGACGUGUCCUGCCUAUAUGAUGAAGCCUCUGUAAAAAUCCCCAAACAGUGGGGUUUGGAGAGCUUCCAGAGAAUACUUCGUAGCUGGAGGGGGACUUCAAGAUCGCCUAUCUGUUCCAACUCCCUCCUUUUGCAUAUGAGAAAGCUUCCAGUUUGGGCCACACCAGGAUUUCAGAUGAUUUGAAAUUCAAAUACACUAGUGGAACACAAGCACAUUUUAAUUUACUCCUUAUCACCGACAGCUCUAAUCAAGGAGCAAUCAGCGCAAUGUGGCAGUGACUCCGAUGGAGAAAUGAACAGUGUCCUGUUUUCCUGUAGCCUGAGAUAGAAUAAAAAAGGAUGAUAGAAACACUGGCAAGGCUGUGGAGCAACUGGAACUCCCAGGCAUUGCUGGUGGGAGUGUAAAAUGCUUCAAUC
rnacentral:lncRNA from 1 species